AGAGUUUGAUCAUGGCUCAGGACGAACGCUGGCGGCGUGCUUAACACAUGCAAGUCGAGCGAGGACACUUAGCAAUAGGUGUUCUAGCGGCGGACGGGUGAGUAACGCGUGAGCAAUCUGUCCCAGACAGGGGAAUAACAGAUGGAAACAUCUGCUAAUACCGCAUAAGACCACGACCUCACAUGGGGUUGGGGUAAAAGGCGAAAGCCGGUUUGGGGUGUGCUCGCGUCCGAUUAGCUAGUUGGUGGGGUAACGGCCCACCAAGGCGACGAUCGGUAGCCGACCUGAGAGGGUGAUCGGCCACACUGGAACUGAGAGACGGUCCAGACUCCUACGGGAGGCAGCAGUGGGGAAUAUUGGGCAAUGGGGGAAACCCUGACCCAGCAACGCCGCGUGAGGGAAGAAGGUUUUCGGAUUGUAAACCUCUGUCCUUGGUGAAGAAAAAAAUGACGGUAGCCAAGGAGGAAGCCCCGGCUAACUACGUGCCAGCAGCCGCGGUAAUACGUACGGGGCGAGCGUUGUCCGGAAUGACUGGGCGUAAAGGGCGUGUAGGCGGCCGAUUAAGUCCGGAGUGAAAGUCCUGCUUUCAAGGUGGGAAUUGCUUUGGAAACUGGUUGGCUUGAGUGCGGAAGAGGUAAGUGGAAUUCCCAGUGUAGCGGUGAAAUGCGUAGAGAUUGGGAGGAACACCAGUGGCGAAGGCGACUUACUGGGCCGUAACUGACGCUGAGGCGCGAAAGCGUGGGGAGCGAACAGGAUUAGAUACCCUGGUAGUCCACGCGGUAAACGAUGAAUGCUAGGUGUAG
rnacentral:rRNA from 1 species